GAUGAAGAACGUAGCGAAAUGCGAUAAGUAAUGCGAAUUGCAGAAUCCGUGAGUCAUCAAAUCUUUGAACGCACAUUGCGCCCUCUGGUAUUCCGGAGGGCAUGCCUGUUCGAGCGUCAUUAUCACCCCUCAAGCCCGGCUUGUUGUUGGAUGCAGCGCUUAUCCCGCUCCUCCCAAAGAUAAUGACGGCGUCUGCGACGACUCCUGUACACUGAGCUUUCGGGCACGUACACGGCUAGAAGUCCAGACCCGGUCGCCGUCCCCCCCGCGGGGACACCCAUUACCACAAGGUUGACCUCGGAUCAGGUAGGAAUACCCGCUGAACUUAAGCAUAUCAAUAAGCGGAGGA
rnacentral:misc_RNA from 1 species